CUAGAGUUUUGAUCCUGGCUCAGGACGAACGCUGGCGGCGUGCCUAAUACAUGCAAGUCGUACGCUUCUUUUUCCACCGGAGCUUGCUCCACCGGAAAAAGAAGAGUGGCGAACGGGUGAGUAACACGUGGGUAACCUGCCCAUCAGAAGGGGAUAACACUUGGAAACAGGUGCUAAUACCGUAUAACAAUCGAAACCGCAUGGUUUUGAUUUGAAAGGCGCUUUCGGGUGUCGCUGAUGGAUGGACCCGCGGUGCAUUAGCUAGUUGGUGAGGUAACGGCUCACCAAGGCCACGAUGCAUAGCCGACCUGAGAGGGUGAUCGGCCACAUUGGGACUGAGACACGGCCCAAACUCCUACGGGAGGCAGCAGUAGGGAAUCUUCGGCAAUGGACGAAAGUCUGACCGAGCAACGCCGCGUGAGUGAAGAAGGUUUUCGGAUCGUAAAACUCUGUUGUUAGAGAAGAACAAGGAUGAGAGUAACUGUUCAUCCCUUGACGGUAUCUAACCAGAAAGCCACGGCUAACUACGUGCCAGCAGCCGCGGUAAUACGUAGGUGGCAAGCGUUGUCCGGAUUUAUUGGGCGUAAAGCGAGCGCAGGCGGUUUCUUAAGUCUGAUGUGAAAGCCCCCGGCUCAACCGGGGAGGGUCAUUGGAAACUGGGAGACUUGAGUGCAGAAGAGGAGAGUGGAAUUCCAUGUGUAGCGGUGAAAUGCGUAGAUAUAUGGAGGAACACCAGUGGCGAAGGCGGCUCUCUGGUCUGUAACUGACGCUGAGGCUCGAAAGCGUGGGGAGCAAACAGGAUUAGAUACCCUGGUAGUCCACGCCGUAAACGAUGAGUGCUAAGUGUUGGAGGGUUUCCGCCCUUCAGUGCUGCAGCUAACGCAUUAA
rnacentral:rRNA from 1 species